rnacentral:misc_RNA from 1 species
GACAGAGAAGCAACUGAAGGAGCUUGGAGACAAGGUGCCUGGGCCAGUGAAGGAGAAGGUUGAAUCGAAACUUGGGGAAUUGAAGGAAGCAAUUUCAGGUGGCUCAACCGAAGCCAUUAAGGAAGCUAUGGCUGCUCUAAAUCAAGAGGUGAUGCAGCUGGGACAAUCCUUGUACAAUCAGCCGGGUGCUGCCCCUGGAGCAGGUGCUGGGAGCGAAUCAGGGCCAUCGGAAUCAACGGGCAAAGGACCUGAAGGAGAUGUCAUCGAUGCCGACUUUACUGACAGCAAAUGAGAAGAUUAAAAUUGGGUUUCCCCCUUUUCUGAAUAGAAAAUUUUGCUCUCAUGGGCUCGGAUUUGUAUUUUGAUUUGAUUUUUGCGGGGCAGGAUCGGAUUGGGGUGUUGGUUUGAGGAUUUGUUGAUAAGCCACUGUCCCAUGGCUCGGAUUUGUAUUUUGAUUUGAUUUUUGCGGGGCAGGAUCGGAUUGGGGUGUUGGUUUGAGGAUUUGUUGAUAAGCCACUGUCCCAU